AACAAAAUGUUGUCAAAGUGGAAAUGUGCGGAGGGCUGACUGAGGAGAAGCAGGCUGAUGAAGCAGUUCAGAACAUCUGUGAUGCAAUGAAGCCUCUCGCAGAGCAGAAAACCGGGAGAAACUUUGAGGUUUUCACUGCAAAGAGCUACAAAACACAAGUCGUAGCUGGGACCAACUACUUCAUUAAGUGAAGCUUAAAACCCUCUUGGAUGGAA